AAAGAUAAAGCCUGAGCUAAUCAUGGACCAACCUCUGAAAUUAUGAACCAAAAUAAAUCUUUCUUCCUUUGUUUUUCUCAGGUAUUUUGUCACAGUAUGGAAAGUCAACAUGUGGAAGUCCCCUUGUGCAGGACAAAUCACCACCAUUAGACCUGUCUUACAAGAAAAGUUAAUGGAAAUUCUUCAACUUGAAACAAAAGGACACUAAGGGAUAAUAUGAUUGCAUAAAGAAGUAUACGGUUCAUUGCCAAGAAAGUUUUCAAAGGACCAGAAUAAGUGAUCACAAUCAAAUCAUAGAGUCCCUCAAAGCACUCCAGCCAUCAGUCAGCUCUUCAAUCUCUCGGCACCUUUAGCAAAGCAAACUGUAAGUUCUGCACUUCUACAUCCAAACUAUCAUCAACUAAAAAAUGAAA